rnacentral:rRNA from 1 species
CCAGACUCCUACGGGAGGCAGCAGUGGGGAAUAUUGCACAAUGGGGGAAACCCUGAUGCAGCGACGCCGCGUGAGCGAAGAAGUACCUCGGUAUGUAAAGCUCUAUCAGCAGGGAAGAAGAUGACGGUACCUGACCAAGAAGCUCCGGCUAAAUACGUGCCAGCAGCCGCGGUAAUACGGAGGGUGCAAGCGUUACUCGGAAUCACUGGGCGUAAAGAGCGCGUAGGCGGGAUAGCAAGUCAGAUGUGAAAUCCUAUGGCUUAACCAUAGAACUGCAUUUGAAACUGUUGGUCUUGAGUAUCGGAGAGGCAGGCGGAAUUCCUAGUGUAGCGGUGAAAUGCGUAGAUAUUAGGAGGAACACCAGUGGCGAAGGCGGCCUGCUGGACGACAACUGACGGUGAGGCGCGAAAGCGUGGGGAGCAAACAGGAUUAGAUACCCUCGUAGCC